rnacentral:lncRNA from 1 species
GCAAUAGCUCGUGUCCUAGCCAUCUGCGAAAGAGUGAAAUCAAGUCAUGACAAUAUACUUGGGAAUUAAUAGCUUCAUCUAGUGAUCAUUAGUCCUCUAUUUGCUUCUUUCUUAUUGAGUUGCAGUCAAAGCUGCCCCCUUUCAAACUCCAACAAGAUGCAACUUUUAAAAGAAGACCAUAACAUAAAGACCAAAAUGGAGAUCAAUUGAUCAGUAUAUUAAGUCUCUAAGCCUCAUAUUAUAACCAGCCAUAAUGGAGAAAGACUUCAACAUUUUUCUCUUAAUAGCAUUCAUGUUGUUUCACUUGGUUGUGGAUAGUUUAUCCAUGACUAAAACCAACAUUACCACUGAUCAAUCAGCGCUUCUUUCGUUGAAAGCGCAAAUCAGUUUAGACCCCUCUCACUUGUUGAUUGAAAGUUGGUCUCCGGCAACUUCUGUUUGUCGUUGGGUUGGAGUCACUUGUCGUUCUUGCCACCAUAGAGUCACGUCAUUGAAUAUUUCCAACAUGAAUCUUACAGGCAGAAUUCCUCCUGAUUUAGGAAAUCUUACAUUUCUUAUUUCGCUUGACCUGAGCCGCAACAACUUCUAUGGCAGUUUGCCUCAAGAAAUGACACGUCUGCAUCGGUUAAGGUUUGUUGUACUUGGUUUUAACAUCUUCAGUGGGAAGCUUCCGUCCUGGUUCGGGGUAUUACAUCAACUUCAGAUUUUGACACUAGGAAAUAAUAGUUUCAGUGGUUCCAUUCCCUCUUUAUUUUCUAAUAUUUCCGCGCUUCAAACUUUAGAUUUGUCAUAUAAUUCCAUAGACGACAAGAUCCCAGAAGAGAUUGGAAAUCUUCAAAAUCUAAUGGUUUUAGGAUUACACAUUGUAACAAGCUUAUAGGUUCUAUCCCUCCAUCUCUCGCGAAUGCCUCAACGCUGGUAGAUUUAGAUCUUUCUUUCAAUAUCCUAGAAGGAAAUAUCCCCGAAGAGAUCGGAGAACUUCAAAAUCUAAAAAGACUGUCAAUAGAAUCUAAUCAACUUAUAGGUUCCAUACCGUUCUCGAUCUUCAACAUUUCUGGAAUCGAAGUCAUUGCAUUUACAAGUAAUACAAUUGUCUUCCGAUGUUGAAAGCGCUUCACUUAAGUCUCAACGAGCUACAUGGUCAAACUGUUCGAAACUUCAAAGGUUGUCAUUUAUCUCAUAACGAGUUUGAUGGACCCAUACAUAGCGAAAUUGGACAUUUAAGUAAUUUGCGGAUUUUGUAUCUCGAAAGAAACCAUUUUGAAGGUUUGGUGUUGAGUACUACCCUGCUGUUUUUACUUCUAACGAAUUACUUGUGAAAGUUUUUCAUACAAUUGGCAGGUGAAAUACCGGAAGAGGUAGGCAAUCUCAUUGAGUUGUAUGAACUUUAUCUUGGUUUGAACAAGUUUACUGGUUCAAUUCCUAUGGAGAUCUUCAACAUAUCAGCGAUGAGAACGAUUGAGCUUAUGGAUAAUAAUAAUCUAACAGGAAACCUUCCAUUAAACAUAGGUUCUACGUUACCCAACAUCGAAAGUCUUUCUCUGAGUGACAUAAAUAUUUUUGGGACUAUACCUCGUUCUCUCUCCGAUUGUUCCAAACUCGGAAUUCUAGACCUCGGUGGAAACAGACUCACCGGCAUGAUUCCGACCUCUCUUGGAUAUUUGACUCAUCUGGAGUACCUAAUCUUGGAGGUUAACCAACUAUUGACUUCCUUAUCAAAUUGUAGAGAUUUAAAAGUUCUUUCUCUAUCUUGGAACCCUCUGAAUGUUAUGCUUCCGCUAUCGUUAGGGAACCUUUCUAGUACAUCUCUUCAAAUGUUUAGAGCUCGUGAUUGUGGUAUUAAAGGGGAAAUUCCAAAAGAAAUCGGGAACUUAGAAAGCUUAAUGGACCUUGAUCUUUCCGGAAAUAAUAUAAUAGGAUCAAUUCCUACAACUAUUAGCAACUUGAGAUUCCUUCAGCACUUUAACUUGAGGCGCAACAAACUCACUGGAUUCAUCGGAGAUGAUCUAUGUAAAUUGCAGAAGAACUUGGUCUAUUUACACUUGGCUAAAAAUCAACUUUCGGGAUCUCUUUCUAAUUGUUUGGGGAACUUAACUUACCUUCAGGAGAUAUUUUUAGGUUCCAACAAAUUGCAUUCGAGCAUACCAGCAAGUUUAAGGAACCUCAAAAUUCUCUUGACGUUAGACUUAUCCUCAAACAACUUGGGUGGCUCCAUACCUUCGGAAAUUGGAAAUAUAAAGGCUGUGAUAUAUAUAGAUCUAUCAAUGAAUAGAUUCUCAAAUGGAAUUCCUGGAGAAAUCGCUGGCUUGCAGAAUCUAGUACAUCUUUCAUUUGAGAGACAACGAACUACGAGGAUCAAUACCUGGCUCAGUUAGCAGCAUGUCGGAUUUGGAAUUUCUAGACCUUUCUCAUAACAAUGUUUCAGGAUUAAUUCCAAAGUCGUUGGAGAAGCUUCGAAAUCUCAAGUAUUUCAACGUUUCUUUCAACAAGUUGGUUGGUUCAAGAACCUAUCCAGUUAAUCUUUCAUGUCCAAUGAAGCAUUGUGUGGUUCUCCACGAUUCCGUGUUCCACCAUGCCACACUAGUAGCUCAAAGCAUAGAUCCAAGAGGAAAAAACGACUUGGUUCUGAUUCUACCAGCCGGAAUUGCACUUGUACUAGUCAUUGGCUUUGCGUUUGUGUGGAUAAGGUAUAUAAGAGGUAAAAAAAAGCAAGAAGUUGAUUCAUCCUUCGUCGUCUCAACAAGAGAAAGAAUUUCAUACUAUGAAUUGCUCCGAGCAACUGAUUCAUUCAACGAGAGCAAUUUGAUUGGUUCUGGGAGUUUCGGCUCUGUUUACAAAGGAAUCCUCAUAGAUGGGACUACUAUUGCUGUUAAAGUGUUCAAGCUUCAAAUGCAAGCAGCUUUUAGGAGUUUCGAUACAGAAUGUCAAGUUUUACGCAACCUUUGCCACAGGAAUCUCACCAGAGUCAUCACUAAUUGUUCCAAUUUUGAAUUUAAGGCUUUGGUACUCGAGCACAUGUCUAAUGGGAGCCUCGAUAAGUGGCUGUAUUCACACAACUACUUCUUAGACAUCAAUCGUAGGCUGAGUAUAAUGAUAGAUGUGGCAUGUUCAUAGGAAUAUCUCCACCACGGUUGUUCAUUUCCCGUUAUUCACUGUGAUUUGAAGCCUAGCAACGUCUUGUUGAACGAGGACAUGAUCGCCCACCUAAGUGACUUUGGCAUUUCAAAAAUGCUUUCUGAUGAUGAGAGUGCUUCAUACACGAAAACUUUAGCAACAUUGGGCUAUAUCGCACCAGGUACGUAAUCUUUUAAUUAAUUGCUUCCGAAUAUUUCUCUCAACUUUUCUCAACCUGUAAAUGUUGAAUAUAAAAUUGUUUGGUUGUAGAGCAUGGAUCGAAAGGAUUGGGGUCAACGAAAUGCGAUGUCUAUAGUUAUGGUAUCGUGUUGAUGGAAACAUUUACAAGGACAAAACCUAAUGAUGAAAUGUUUGAUGACGGACUUAGCUUGAAGGAAUGGGUGAGCAAUUCACUCCCACAAGCAAUAACAGAAGUUGUUGACGCCAACUUAAUAACACCACAGGAUAAUCACUUCAUGAAAAAGUUAGAUUGCGUAGUAUCCAUCAUGAAAGUGGCGGUAGAUUGUUGCGUCGAACCUCCUAAUCGAAGGAUCGACAUGAAAGAUAUUGUAGCGAGGUUUAAAGAAAAGUACACCACAAGUUCACAUAAACCAACAACACCUAUAAAAGCAGCGAAAUAUGCGAGAGGAAAGGUGCGUAGCUUUGUCCAUCAUUGCAACACGUAAUCAAAGACAAACUAGGCUGAAUCUUCCUCUCCUUUGCGUCUUAUGUUAAAGCCAAAAGAGGGACCUAGCCUUAUAUUUAUAGGCUUAAAAGCCUUAACCAAGUGCACCCCCAUUAUGGGCUCACAGGUCUACUACAGGCCUACACUAUUGCCAGCCUACACCAAUAACAUGAAAUGAAUACAGGCCCAUAUGGAAUCCGCAUGAAUACACGACCUGUGUCUUGUCCACCAACUAAUAACAUCAGCCCAUUUUACUUUAACGUAAUAAAAAGUUAAUGUUAAGUCCACAUAAUACACGGCCUGUUUCUUGUUCACCAACUAAUAACAUCAAUCCGUUUUACUUUAACGUAAUAAAAAGUUAAUGUAACAUUUCUGCAAGUAGGUUGUUUCCAAGGCUUGAACCCGUGACCUCCUGAUCACAUGGCAGCAACUUUACCAGUUACUCCCUAAUAACUUGUAAUGGCCUAGUGGUACUCUUAUCAUGAAAGUUGAAAAGAUCUCAUGAUUACCCACCAUUACAGUAAAAGAUCGUUCACACAGCAAAGGACUCACUUAGGCAAUUGAGCAAACACCUUACAAUCAGAGGCGGAUCCAGAAUUUUAAACUUGUGGGUUCCAAGGCUCCUUUUCUACCACUAAGCUAUCCCUUGGUUUCGUUAUGGGUUCCCACCAAUUAAUAUUAUAACUUUUGAAGAUUUUUUUAUAUAAUUUUAAGCCUUACGGUAGCGGGUGUGGGUUCCCGGAAACCCACACCUUCUACUCUACAUCUGCCACUGCUUACGAUCAACCAAACAACGAAAACUAACAAAUUUCAAUUGAUCAUAAAGUUGAGUAAGAAUUUGGGAUUUCAUACCUGAUGAUGUUGUUUCGAUUUGAAGAUUAGUAAUGCUAAUAAUGUUGUCAAUAUGAAUGCCAUGAUGACUCAGCAAAAAGUGCCAAAAUGACACACUUGGAUACUAGUUGAGGAGCCAAAAAUGAACGUCGUCUAGUUUAGGUGUCAAAAUGAAAUAUCGUGCAAAUUUUAGGUAAUUUUAGGUGUCUGUCGAUGGGUUCCGCCUCUCAAGUAUGUUUGAUCAUGUUCAAAGGGCAGCCCGGUGCAUUAAAGUUCCUAUGCACUAAGUCCGGGAAUGGGUCAUUCCGGUGCAGAAUCCAAG